rnacentral:rRNA from 1 species
CCCUUAGAUGUUCUGGGCCGCACGCGCGCUACACUGAUCAGUGCAACAAGCAUCCGUCCUUGGCCGACAGGCCCGGGCAAUCUUUGAACGCUGAUCGUGAUGGGGAUAGACUUUUGCAAUUUUUGGUCUUCAACGAGGAAUUCCUAGUAAACGCAAGUCAUCAACUUGCAUUGAUUACGUCCCUGCCCUUUGUACACACCGCCCGUCGCACCUACCGAUUGAAUGGUCCGGUGAAGCCUCCGGAUUGGCGUGCACCCUCGGGUGCUGCCGAGAAGUUGGUUAAACCUUACCAUUUAGAGGAAGGUGAAGUCGUAACA